CGGAGGACGACUCGCCCGGGCCUCCGGGCUGGGGGCAGUGGGCAGAGGCGGUGCCAGCUUCCACGUCCACACCGACAGCAAGAAGAGGAAGAGCUGAUACUUCCUCCUCUGUUCCAGUGGCAAGAAAAGACCGCAGCCGAACUGGGGAAAUGAAAGUGAGACUGCGCCACAGGAGCCCUGGUCUUUGGGAAGUCUGAGAAUCCAGGCAGCACCUCCCCACGGAAGUGGGCCUUGAAGAGUUCCUGCAGACAGGAAGCCAGGACGGACAGCUGCUCGGAGUCGAAGUCUUCCUGGGUGUACAGAAGCAAGAGGAAACCCAGGGACAUAAAUGACAGCGGAGGGCAGGACACACAGCUCGCGCAGCAAGCACGAACACUCACGUGCACAGACAGAACAAAGGAGCUCUGUUCCCCCGUCAGGUCCUGCCGCCGCAACCCUGGACACCAGAAGAGCCCGGGCUGGAUCUCAGAGGCGGGAGCGCAGCCCGCACCCACCUCCCCUUCUGGAGCUGGAGUACUUUGUCCCUCAGCGACUCGUCCAACUGGUCCAGUACUGGGGAUGGAAGCCAGGACCUCAUACACAUUAGGAGAGCAGUGCACCAAUGAGCUUCAUCCUCACUCCUCCCACGGCCCUUUCACAGCACAGCGCACACUUGUGAAUAAUAUUACUCACACAGAACUAUGGAAUAAUGACUCCUCUAGGGCCUGGAGCUGGGUGGUUCCGUGGUGGUCCACGAUGAGGCGGAGGUACGUGUAGACAGCCAUGGCGAUGAGGAUG